AGCGAACGCUGGCGGCAGGCCUAACACAUGCAAGUCGAACGAAGUCUUCGGACUUAGUGGCGGACGGGUGAGUAACACGUGGGAACGUGCCUUUAGGUUCGGAAUAACCCAGGGAAACUUGUGCUAAUACCGAAUGUGCCCUUCGGGGGAAAGAUUUAUCGCCUUUAGAGCGGCCCGCGUCUGAUUAGCUGGGUGGUGAGGUAAAGGAUCACCAAGGCGACGAUCAGUUGCUGGUCUGAGAGGAUGAUCAGCCACAUUGGGACUGAGACACGGCCCAAACUCCUACGGGGGGCAGCAGUGGGGAAUCUUGCGAGAUGGGCGAAAGCCUGACGCAGCCAUGCCGCGUGAAGGAUGAAGGUCUUAGGAUUGUAAAAUUCUUUCACCGGGGACGAUAAUGACGGUACCCGGAGAAGAAGCCCCGGCUAACUUCGUGCCAGCAGCCGCCGUAAAAC
rnacentral:rRNA from 1 species